rnacentral:rRNA from 1 species
UACGUAGGGUGCGAGCGUUGUCCGGAUUUAUUGGGCGGAAAGAGCGUGUAGGCGGCCAGGUAGGUCUGCUGUGAAAACUCGAGGCUCAACCUCGAGACGUCGGCGGAAACCAUCUGGCUAGAGUCCGGAAGAGGAGAGUGGAAUUCCUGGUGUAGCGGUGAAAUGCGCAGAUAUCAGGAAGAACACCCGUGGCGAAGGCGGCUCUCUGGGACGGUACUGACGCUGAGACGCGAAAGCGUGGGGAGCGAACAGG